GGUUGUGUCAAUGGAUAGCAUUCCUCACCACCCUUUCACAUAGGGACUCAAGGUUACUUCUCCUGCUCAAAGAUGUUUGAGAUUCAGGUAACUCGUGAAACCGGAAAGAACCUCAAAGAAUUCAUGGAUCAGGGAAUCUCGAGCUGGAUAGCUUCGAAAAUCUUUGUUCUCCAAGACCUUGGGCUCUGCUAAUUUAGAGGUCUUCAUAUGCUCAGGAAGAAUGUUUCCACCAGAGCAAAUCGCAGAGAUCCCACUUAUUUGGAAAUUGAGACCAAUUUCAGACUGGCCAUUUCAGACUCCACAUGCCCUGGAUGAACAGGGGGAAAAAAGCAAGGGGUCAGGGGGUUGUUCUGUGUUGGCUGGAGUGAUUGAUUCUGGUUGUCAAGGGGGAAAUAUAGUUGCUGCUGCAUAGUGGGGACAGGGAGACGUGUGUCUCUGGAUCCCCUGAAAUCCUCUGGGGUGCUUUCUAAUUCCAAGGCUGGUGGUAAAAGUUAAUGGAAGAGGACAGGAAACCAGAAUGAGCAAGACAACUGUGGGCUCAGGUUCCUCCUGAAUGAAGCUCAGAUCAUCCUAUGAGGAGUCCAGUGGAUACUGAGGCUGCCGUAGGUUGUAAGAUCAGCCAAGACCUCCAGCUUGAGAUUCUCAAAAAAUUACAACAGGCUCCUGGUUCUCAGUGAUUGGUUUAAGAUUAAAUGAAUGUAUACGUUUGAACCAAAAAGACACAUGCACUAAUAAAGCACUGACCUCUUCUGUUUCA